AUACGGAGGAUCCGAGCGUUAUCCGGAUUUAUUGGGUUUAAAGGGUGCGCAGGCGGCCAUUUAAGUCAGCGGUUAAAUCGUGGGGCUCAACCCCAUUCUGCCGUUGAUACUGGGUGGCUUGAUUGCGGUCGAGGUUGGCGGACUUCGUUGUGUAGCGGUGAAAUGCAUAGAUAUGACGAAGAACACCGAUUGCGUAGGCAGCUGACCAGACCGCAAAUGACGCUCAUGCACGAAAGUGCGGGGAUCGAGCAGGAUUAGAUACCCUGGUAGUCCGCACAGUAAACGAUGAAUACUUGUUUUCGGCGAUAUAAUGUCGGAGGCAAAGCGAAAGCGAUAAGUAUUCCACCUGGGGAGUACGCCGGCAACGGUGAAACUCAAAUGAAUUGACGGGG
rnacentral:rRNA from 1 species